rnacentral:rRNA from 1 species
GUGCCAGCAGCCGCGGUAAGACAGAGGGUGCAAACGUUGUUCGGAAUUACUGGGCGUAAAGCGCGUGUAGGCGGCAAUACAAGUCGGAUGUGAAAUCCCGCGGCUUAACCGUGGAAGUGCACCCGAAACUGUAUCGCUAGAGUCCCGGAGAGGAUGGUGGAAUACUUGGUGUAGAGGUGAAAUUCGUAGAUAUCAAGUGGAACACCGGUGGCGAAGGCGGCCAUCUGGACGGUGACUGACGCUGAGACGCGAAAGCGUGGGUAGCAAACAGGAUUAGAAACCCGCGUAGUCC